rnacentral:lncRNA from 1 species
GAAUAAGUUCUCAUGAGAUCUAAUGGUUUUAUAAGGGGCUUCCCUCUUCACCCAGCUCUCAUUCUUCUUCUUCCUUAUGCCAUGUGAAAAAGAUAUGUUUGCUUCCCUUUCCACCAUGAUUGUAAGUUUCCUGAGGCCUCCCCAGCUCUGCAGAACUGUCCUGGGAAAUAUAAUGUACCAUUUGGAUUCUCUGAGAGACAGACACUGAGGGGAAGAACACUCAUCCUGGAAGAAGCCAGCUACCAUGACUUGAGGACACUUAGCCCCAAGGAAAAGCCAUUAGCAAGGAACUGAGACUUCCCGUCAACAGCCAUGUGAGUGGGCCUUCCUGGAAAUUGAUCCUGCAGUUUCAGUCAAGGCUUCAGAUGAUGCAACCCAGAUGCUGAACCAGAAACACCCAGUGAAACCACGCCUAGAUUCCUGACUCUCAGAAACUGUGGGAGAAUAAAUGUUUGUUUUAAGCCACUAAAUUUGGGGGCAAUUUGCUAUGUAACAAUAGGUAACUAAUACAAUAAGUUAAAAUGCAACAUCUGAGAAAUUUAGAACAUAAACUCCUUGAUGAUAAUGUUAUAUUUGUUCUUUGGGAGAAAAAAAAAACUGAAAAGAAAUCUCUUCAUCUUAUUGUGAGGAUGUAAAAUGCAUAUUCCAGCCACAUUAUAUUCAGUUUUCAAAUCACUUUUAUCCACCCAGUUAUCAAGGACCUUGUAUAUACAUUCUAUUAG